ACACUCCUGCGGGAGGCAGCAGUGGGGAAUAUUGGACAAUGGGCGCAAGCCUGAUCCAGCCAUGCCGCGUGAGUGAUGAAGGCCCUAGGGUUGUAAAGCUCUUUCACCGGUGAAGAUAAUGACGGUAACCGGAGAAGAAGCCCCGGCUAACUUCGUGCCAGCAGCCGCGGUAAUACGAAGGGGGCUAGCGUUGUUCGGAUUUACUGGGCGUAAAGCGCACGUAGGCGGACUAUUAAGUCAGGGGUGAAAUCCCGGGGCUCAACCCCGGAACUGCCUUUGAUACUGGUAGUCUUGAGUUCGAGAGAGGUUAGUGGAAUUCCGAGUGUAGAGGUGAAAUUCGUAGAUAUUCGGAGGAACACCAGUGGCGAAGGCGGCUCACUGGCUCGAUACUGACGCUGAGGUGCGAAAGCGUGGGGAGCAAACAGGAUUAGAAACCCCUGUAGUCCCAUG
rnacentral:rRNA from 1 species